rnacentral:rRNA from 1 species
AGCAGCCGCGGUAAUUCCAGCUCCAAUAGCGUAUAUUAAAGUUGUUGCAGUUAAAAAGCUCGUAGUUGAAUUUCGGAAUCGACGGAUUGGUCGCGCCUUCGGUGUGUACUGGUCUUGCCGGUUUCUCCCUUCUGACGAACCACGAUGUCAUUAAUUUGGUGUCGUGGGGAAUUAGGACUGUUAUUUUGAAAAAAUUAGAGUGUUUAAAGCAGGCAUUAGCUUGAAUACAUUAGCAUGGAAUAAUGAAAUAGGACGUUUGAUCUUAUUUUGUUGGUUUCUAGGAUCGACGUAAUGAUUAAUAGGGAUAGUUGGGGGCAUUAGUAUUCAAUUGUCAGAGGUGAAAUUCUUGGAUUUAUUGAAGACUAACUACCGCGAAAGCAUUUGCCAAGGAUGUUUUCAUUAAUCAAGAACGAAAGUUAGGGGAUCGAAGACGAUCAGAUACCGUCGUAGUCUUAACCAUAAACUAUGCCGACUAGGGAUCGGAUGAUGUUAAUUUUUAAUGACUCAUUCGGCGCCUUAC